ACACCCACACAUCGAUCUUGUUUUCACCUAGCUUGAGAUCUUUUCUAUUAUCGAUCUCGUUUGUAACAUCGAUCUCAUUUCAUUCAUUGUAUUCAUCCUUAUUCAUCAAUAAAAUCCAUCUUUGCCAACUAGAAACUGAUUACAUCGUUGUGUUCUAAAGAUAUCGUUGCCUACAUCAUUUUAUCUUUCCUAGAUUAAACUCUCGAUCA
rnacentral:lncRNA from 1 species